rnacentral:rRNA from 1 species
GAGUAACGCGUGAGCAACCUGCCCCAAGCUUUGGGAUAACCCCGGGAAACCGGGGCUAAUACCGAAUAGGACCUUCGGCCGCAUGGCUGGGGGUGGAAAGUUUUUCGGCUUGGGAUGGGCUCGCGGCCUAUCAGCUUGUUGGUGGGGUGAUGGCCUACCAAGGCGACGACGGGUAGCCGGCCUGAGAGGGCGACCGGCCACACUGGGACUGAGACACGGCCCAGACUCCUACGGGAGGCAGCAGUGGGGAAUAUUGCACAAUGGGCGGAAGCCUGAUGCAGCGACGCCGCGUGAGGGAUGACGGCCUUCGGGUUGUAAACCUCUUUCAGCAGGGACGAAGCGAGAGUGACGGUACCUGCAGAAGAAGCACCGGCCAACUACGUGCCAGCAGCCGCGGUAAGACGUAGGGUGCGAGCGUUGUCCGGAUUUAUUGGGCGUAAAGAGCUCGUAGGCGGCUUGUCGCGUCGACCGUGAAAACUUGGGGCUCAACCCCAAGCCUGCGGUCGAUACGGGCAGGCUAGAGUUCGGUAGGGGAGACUGGAAUUCCUGGUGUAGCGGUGAAAUGCGCAGAUAUCAGGAGGAACACCGGUGGCGAAGGC